rnacentral:rRNA from 1 species
AUUGAACGCUGGCGGCAGGCCUAACACAUGCAAGUCGAGCGGCAGCGACUUAACUGAACCUUCGGGGGACGUUAAGGGCGGCGAGCGGCGGACGGGUGAGUAAUGGCUGGGAACCUGCCCGAUAGAGGGGGAUAACAGUUGGAAACGACUGCUAAUACCGCAUGAUGUCUACGGACCAAAGGAGGGGAUCUUCGGACCUUUCGCUAUCGGAUGGGCCCAGUUGGGAUUAGCUAGUUGGUGAGGUAAUGGCUCACCAAGGCGACGAUCCCUAGCUGGUUUGAGAGGAUGAUCAGCCACACUGGAACUGAGACACGGUCCAGACUCCUACGGGAGGCAGCAGUGGGGAAUAUUGCACAAUGGGCGCAAGCCUGAUGCAGCCAUGCCGCGUGUGUGAAGAAGGCCUUCGGGUUGUAAAGCACUUUCAGCAGUGAGGAAGGUUACGUAGUUAAUACCUGCGUGAUUUGACGUUAGCUGCAGAAGAAG